rnacentral:tRNA from 1 species
GCGAUGGUAAUUCAAUGGUAGAAUGUCUGCUUCCCAAGCAGAAUGCUGAGAGUUCGAUUCUCUUCCAUCGCU